UUGACCUCGUAAUCUGCCUCCCACCUCAGCCUCCCAAAGUGCUGGGAUUACAGGCCUGAGCCACUGCACCUGGCUGAUGCUCGUCUUCUUUCAAGGGAAACAGACUUUGCUGCCUGGGCUGUCCUAUGUCUUCCUCCCUCACCUCACUCAGCUGAUAGGUAAAGAAGCUGUGGGAAUCUGAUCCAAGGGCAACCCACAGGCCUGUGACCUAUGACCGGGCUGGGACUAAAAAAAAUGAGCAGGACCAAUCCAAUUCUCACCCUUGGGGAUUUGAUUCAGAAAACUCCAAUGGCUGAACCAGUUACUAAGGGGGCAGAAACUGCAAGAGUGCCAGGGGUAGAGCAGAGGCCACAACAAGCCAAAACCAUAUGCAAGCCAAGGUUAUGAGGAAGCAGAAACUAUGAGUAAACAGGAAGCUUACUGGCAGCGGGCAGAGAGUACGGCAUGCCAGGAGUGGGUGAGCACUUGGCGGUGAAAUGAUGGAGGGGGCUGUAGUCCCUAGAGCUGCUUUGGCUCUUAAGACUUACAACAGCCCCUCCACUUGUGUACUUAAAACACCCUUCCUUCUUCAGAGAGCUUAAAGGAAUCUGGACUUUGCAAUCCAAGGAACAGAAUUAAAGCAGAACCAAGCAGAUCUGGGUCCAUAUUUCAGCUUCCCACUUGUGCUCUGGGCAAGUUUGCUAACCUCUCCGAGUGCCAGACUCCUCACAAAAUUGUCUUAAGUACAGUACAUGGACAAAGUGUCAAACUCAAUAAAUGGCAGUUGUUGUUAUUGUUUUUCCAGGUUUUAUCAUGGUGGUGUGUAGAUUUAAAUGGUUGCACUGUGCAAAUAACUGAUGCUGAACAUCAAAGAACAGGAGCAAGGGUAAAGCAAGAAUUAAUGACAAGCGAAUUUAGGCAAGGGGAGGUCAUUUUUUAGAAAAACUGUUAAAUGGCUGAAUGAAUAUGCUUUCUAAGGUUCUGUAUGCUGCAGAUUUAACUUUAAAAGGAAAACGAAAGUCUAGAAAAAGGUCUUUCUCAAGAACCUAGGUGCACUGAAGUUUUUCUUCAUCUGUUUUUGUCUAGUUUCCUUCAAAGAAGUUAUGUGUUGGAGAAGAGCCAUUUUUGAAUGAAUAGGAAGACUGUGAGCAGUAUCAGAGAUCACUCUCAUAAGCCAGGAGGUAUAUUCCAACUAGGAUAAUAAGGAUGGAGCCACCAGUACAUGCAGAAGCCUGCAAUCUGAAAUAGGAGAUGACACACAUAGAAAUGUAGCCUGGCAAAAAACAUGGGGUGGCCUCAGCAGAGGAAAUGCUGCCAGCUGAAAACACCGGAUGUAAUCGAGACCACAAGAGACACAGACUUAGUUAUAAAUGUCGAACUAAAAAGAGGUAUUGGAAAGAAACAAAGUCUAACUUUUUAUUGGCUGGAUUAAUUAUUGUAGUGAAAUCUUACUAUUUCAUAGUUUAGUCCCCCAAAAAAACCAAAAUAUCUGGGAAUUAUUUUUAUAAUCCUAGGUUCCACUUUCCAGAGCGUUAAGAAGAAGAAGAAGAAAAAAAAAAAAACCCUAUGGAUUCUUACCAUCCCUGGCCAUUUUCCUACCACUGUAGGCAGGAGAACAGAGGUUCUGGGUGUCAACCUACUAGACAGUACACGAUAGGUUGGAUCAGCUUCCAUAAAUAGUUGGGAAAAGAGCAUUUUUAAAGAAUGUCUUUUAGCAUCAAAUAAAUGUCCUUUUACUAUAUAAAGAACCAGAAUAAAUUUGUCUAUAGAUGGACCCAUAACAGAGUAAGUUAAUUAGUAUUAUUAAUUCUGUUUGGCAAUGGGGUGGGGAUAAGAAAACUUAGCUUACGAAGUCUGUAAUAGCUGUUUUUCUAUUCCCACCCUUUGACAUUGUGCUUCCGUUUGUAUGGAGUAAUGGUGAUAACUAUGUUCCUUCUCUAUUGGCCAUGAAAAUCCAAAUUUGAACUUAGGAAAAAGCAUAACACUUUGGGAUCCCUAUGAUCCCCCCACCCCUCGCCAGUUUGGUUAUUAGUGUUUUCCAAGCUGCACGUUUAAACAGUUACCUAUUGCUCUCUAUGUAAAGAUUUUUUCAAUUAAAUACAUUUGUCUGUUCAAAAAAUAAUUCUUCAGGCAAAAAUUUAAAAUUUAAUUUACUUUUUAGUCAGGGAAAAUGAUAUUUUAAUUGUCAAAAUAUAAUACUUUUUAUUUAAGACCUUGACUAAAGGGGCAGUUAGCAGUUUUUGCACUUUAAAGUUAACAGGAAGUCUCCUUUCUUCCUUUUUCGUUUUUCAUGUAAUAUGAUCAAUGUUUCUUAGAAAGGUUAACAUUUCUCAUAAGAGAUUAAAGGACCUACCAUAACUCACACAGGAGAAAGUGGGUAUCUUCUGAUGGUAAGAACAGGUCAUUUUUGAGACUAUGUUGUGUUAUACAUGUCAGCCAUCUUAUUAAGUAAGCUCUUUGAAAAAAUAAAAGAAAAUCUUUUGCCACUAGAGGGAGUUCAAAAUUCCCUUUGUAUCAGUAAACAUGUAAAGUGAAUUUAACUUCUGAAACAAUAGAAACUAUGAUUGUAGUAUACUUUUGAAAAAAUUAAACAAUAAGACUAAAUCAAGAAUUAGGUUUUUAGGGGAUAUAUCUUUUCCUUCAGUUAGAAUAGCUAUGGUGAAUAUAUGCCAUGGCUAUUAUGCACAGCACACAUAUAUUAAAGGUAACUUCUUAAUUUUAAUAUCUGGAAGCAGUACAAUGAAUAAGCAUUCUUAUUCAUUGGGAUUGGAAUCUUUCACUCUUUCAAGCUGUAUUUAAUAAUAACUGUGGUAGACAGUUCCAAAAAUACCUGCCACAAUCCUUCCUGCUCUGCACGUGCUUUCUCAAUGUGAUUCUCUCCUCCAAAGUCCAGGACUGGAACCUGUUUCACCUCCCCUUGACUAUGGGAUGGCCCUGUGCGACUGGACCAGAGGAAUGCAGAAGUAUGGCUGAGUGACUUCCAGAUCUGGGCCUGAAGAGGCUUUCAGCCAAUCACCCUGUAAAGAAAUCUGGGCGAAUCUGCCUUCCAGUUAGAACCCACAUGGAAAGAGAGGCUGUACUGAAAGAGAAGCUACACAGAGGAAAAUGGAGGCACUCCAGCCAACAGCCAGACAACUGUGAGGCAUGUGAAUGAGGCCAUCUUGGACAUUCUGUCCCCAGCUGAGCUCCCAACUGCAUGCAGCUGCCUGAGUGACCCAAAGUCAAAUGGAGCAGAAGAGCCACCCAGCUGAUCCCAGGCAACCCAGGAAAAUGCAAAAUUUUAAGUCACUUUUUAGUUUAAGUCAUUUUAAAGUUUUAAGUCAUUUCUAAGUUCAAGUCAUUUUUAAGUCAUUUUAAGUUUUAACUUGGAGGUAAUUCGUUACUCCAUAAUAGAUAAUUGAAACAAUAAUACUAGUAAAUAUGUUUGUAUGAUGGUCUAUAUUUGUUGAAAGCCCUUUUACAUCCACUAUGUCCUAUAGCCAUACCAUGCAGUGGGAAACUGGGUCAAAAGUUAAAUAUCCUGGCCAAGAUCUUGGAGUGCUUAAAAACAAAUACAGUUUAAGAGAGAGAUGUUUCUCAUAAGUAAAUGCUAUAUAUGCCUAUUUUUCUACUUUUUAUCUAAUGUAGUAGUGAUUAUCAAAUAAUCAAGUACUGGUUAAAAACUACUCUCUCCCACGUUUCUUUUCCAUAAAAACUAGUUAAUCUAAACAAUUAUAUUCAUUUAUUUUUCUAUUAGUCCUACCAGUUCAAAGAGUAAAAAUAAUAUUUUUGGACCUGUGCCUCUUUAUUCAUGCACACCUCUAGCUGUGUUUUGAUGUUUGAGAAAUGUUAAUUAUUUGAAAGUUCUACACACAAAGCACUGACAGCUUCAAGUGAUAAGCUGAAUUUUUAAAUGUGAAAUGACCCUUAAUUCUUUCCUUGCUUAUUCUCAUUGUAGGCAAGUUUUACAACUCUCCUAUCUGUUUGACUUUCAGUUGAACAAAAUAAUGAUGGGGCACUUAGCACCAGGUCCUUUGCAUUUUGGUUCCCCAUCCCCCUUUCCCUCCUCCAGGGUUACCUGUGAGACUGUAUAUGACUGAUAUGGA